CACGUAGGGCGCAAGCGUUGUCCGGAAUUAUUGGGCGUAAAGAGCUCGUAGGUGGUUUGUUACGUCUGCUGUGAAAACCUAGGGCUUAACCCUGGGCUUGCAGUGGAUACGGGCAGACUAGAGGUAGGUAGGGGAGAAUGGAAUUCCUGGUGUAGCGGUGAAAUGCGCAGAUAUCAGGAGGAACACCGGUGGCGAAGGCGGUUCUCUGGGCCUUACCUGACACUGAGGAGCGAAAGCAUGGGGAGCGAACAGG
rnacentral:rRNA from 1 species